rnacentral:rRNA from 1 species
UGGGGAAUUUUGGACAAUGGGCGCAAGCCUGAUCCAGCCAUGCCGCGUGAGUGAAGAAGGCCUUCGGGUUGUAAAGCUCUUUCGGACGGGAAGAAAUGGCGGGCUCUAACAUAGCCUGUCGAUGACGGUACCGUAAGAAGAAGCACCGGCUAACUACGUGCCAGCAGCCGCGGUAAUACGAAGGGUGCGAGCGUUACCCGGAUUUACUGGGUGUAAAGGGCGUGUAGGCGGUUUCUCAAGUCCGAUGCUAAAGACCGAAGCUCAACUUCGGGAGUGCGUUGGAGACUGUGAUGCUAGACGGUCGGAGAGGGUAGCGGAAUUUCCUGAGUAGCGGUGAAAUGCGCAGAUACAGGAAGGAACGCCAAUAGCGAAAGCAGCUACCUGGACGAUUUGUGACGCUGAGGCGCGAAAGCGUGUGGAGCAAACC